AAGUGCGCUUAUGAGGUUGUAAUGUUGUUCCCCUGCCUUGUCAUAUGCCAAAUGUUUGCACUGAAGAGCCUCCUUCGCAUCAUCAAUAGACACAACAGCAUCAGUUCCGGCUCGAGUGGUAGCCAUGGUAGCUGAGAUUUCCAAAGCAUUCAACGCGACGCGAGCAUCACCAUCGCAGUUAUUAGCCAAGAACUCUAUGACAGAAUCAUCAACCUCAACGCUAUUGGGGAGUCCUCUCUCGGAAUCAUCUACAGCUCGUCUAAGAAGGGUCUCAACAUGAUUGGGUUUCAAGGGAUUAAGAGUUAGAACUCUACAACGUGAGAGCAAAGGAGUGAUCAAAUGGAAAGAAGGGUUCUCAGUGGUGGCUCCAAUGAAGAGGAUACUACCAUCUUCAAUAACAGGCAAGAAUGUAUCUUGCUGUGACUUGUUAAACCUAUGAACCUCAUCCAUAAACAACACAGUCCUCUUUCUACCUUCAAGAUUAAGCCUUUUGGCACUCUCAACGGCGUCUCUAACAUCUUUAACUCCGCUCGUAACAGCAGACAAGGAAACGAAGCGAUACAGAGACGGGUCCUUAGAGGAAUUGAUGAGAGACUUUGCGAUUGAGGUCUUUCCAGUGCCAGGAGGACCCCAGAAGACAAUGGAAGGGAGGCGAUUGGAUUCGACGGCGGAACGGAGGAGAGAGCUGGGAGAGAGGAGAUGGUCUUGACCUACAACGUCAUCUAGAGUGCGAGGACGCAUACGCUCCGACAAUGGCUGGUGUUGGCGGUGGCUGGAUGAUGAGAGCUUGUGACGCUUGUUGGAAUCAUCAGCCGCGACGUGGAUUUGGGUUUUGGGAUUGGGGCGCUUGCUGGAAUCGUCACCCAUGGCGGGGGCUAGGGCUUU